rnacentral:sRNA from 1 species
CCCGCCCCCUCGCCCUCUCGCCCCCUCCCGCGGGAGUCGCGGCGCUGCGGGUAGGAGCCGGGUUGCGGGAGACCCCAGGUUCGGUUGGGAUUCCCAGCCAGAACGGAGCUUAAGCCGGGCAGGCGAGCGAAUGACGGAGUAGCGAGCUGCACGGCGGCGUGCUGCGCUGUUGAGGACGCUGUCCCGCGCGCUCCCAGGCCGCCCCGGGGCUUGGGGUCUUCGAAGGAUAAUCGGCGCCCGGGGCCGAACAGCGGGGGCACACGGGGCGCUGCCGAAGUGCAAGGCCACGGCCAGAGCUCGAGCCCGACGCGCUGUCUGGAGUCGUAGGUUGGCGCCGUUUGGGGUCAGGGUCUGAGGCUUGGGCGCUGCCUGGGCCGAGCGGAGAUCGGGGUUUGCCUCCCGUCCCCGCUCAGGACCCUGACGUGGCUGAAGCGGCCCCGGGAGCAUGAGCGGGCAGCGCGUGGACGUCAAGGUGGUGAUGCUGGGCAAGGAGUACGUGGGCAAGACUAGCCUGGUGGAGCGCUACGUGCACGACCGCUUUCUGGUGGGGCCUUAUCAGAACACCAUCGGGGCCGCCUUCGUGGCCAAGGUGAUGUCGGUCGGAGACCGGACUGUGACAUUAGGUAUUUGGGACACAGCAGGCUCUGAGCGCUAUGAGGCCAUGAGUAGAAUCUACUAUCGGGGUGCCAAGGCUGCCAUCGUCUGCUAUGACCUCACAGACAGCAGCAGCUUUGAGCGAGCAAAGUUCUGGGUGAAGGAACUGCGCAGCCUAGAGGAGGUAGGUGAACAGACCUCACUAGAACACUAGGGGCUGGGGUUUUGUUGGCCUGUGGAGGUGACCCUUGUCUUCUGCCUCAGGGCUGCCAAAUCUACUUAUGUGGCACCAAGAGUGACCUGCUGGAAGAAGACCGGAGGCGUCGACGUGUGGACUUCCAUGACGUCCAGGACUAUGCAGACAGUAGCUGCUCCUCAGCCCUUUGGGGGGUGGGGGUGUGUGGCUGUCUGGGUGGAUCAAAGAAAAUAGGGACUGCCUUGGCUGCCAGGGCAAGGUGCUCUAGGAGGUCUUCCUGGCCUCCUUGAACUGUGGGGUCCAGGAGACUCCCUGAACUGCUAGCCCUCCCUUUUGUCUGUUUAUCUAAUUCUCAGGUAUGAGGCUUUAGUCACUUCUCUUUACAGAUAUCAAAGCUCAGCUCUUUGAAACAUCCAGCAAGACAGGCCAGAGUGUGGACGAGCUCUUCCAGAAAGUGGCAGAGGAUUACGUCAGUGUGGCUGCCUUCCAGGUGAUGACAGAGGACAAGGGCGUGGAUCUGGGCCAGAAGCCAAACCCCUACUUCUACAGCUGUUGUCAUCACUGAGUCAGCACUCACCUGGCCUGGGGGAAUUAAAGGAAUUCCCCGUAAGGGCUGGACCCAGCUCCUUUCUGGGCUUGGGUAGUCAAAUGUCUGAGCUACCCCAGGUCCUCAUGUCAGCAGAGUGGCGCCUGCCUGUGCUGGCCCAUGGAACGGAGACAGCAUUGGGCUGACUGUGGGCAUGAGGAGGGAUAAGGGCUGAUUUGGACCCCAGGCUUCUGCCCUGGACAGCACUUGUGUCUGCAGAUUAUUUAAGUGGCUUUUGAUCUGUAAAUAAAAUCAAUGCACUGUGAAUCACACCCAGCCCCUUUCCCUGCUGUGUGGAUUAGGUGUCAAGACACCUAGUUCUUUCUGGGGCCACCCGGCUGGCCUCACUGCUUAUAUUAAGGCUCCUCCCAACUCUCAUUUUCCUUUGGAAAACAAGACUUUUUUCCCCAUGGUUACCGCUGAGAUACUGGGGCUGUAGUAGUACAAAAGCUCACAGUUCCUUCUGAGUGCUGAAAAGAGUACAUGAGUUGCUUCGAAAUAAAAGGGUCAAGCAUUCCUACCUGA